GAUGAACGUUGGCGGCGUGCCUAAUACAUGCAAGUCGAGCGAACAGAUAAGGAGCUUGCUCCUUUGACGUUAGCGGCGGACGGGUGAGUAACACGUGGGUAACCUACCUAUAAGACUGGGAUAACUUCGGGAAACCGGAGCUAAUACCGGAUAAUAUUUCGAACCGCAUGGUUCGAUAGUGAAAGAUGGUUUUGCUAUCACUUAUAGAUGGACCCGCGCCGUAUUAGCUAGUUGGUAAGGUAACGGCUUACCAAGGCGACGAUACGUAGCCGACCUGAGAGGGUGAUCGGCCACACUGGAACUGAGGCACGGUCCAGACUCCUACGGGAGGCAGCAGUAGGGAAUCUUCCGCAAUGGGCGAAAGCCUGACGGAGCAACGCCGCGUGAGUGAUGAAGGUCUUCGGAUCGUAAAACUCUGUUAUUAGGGAAGAACAUACGUGUAAGUAACUGUGCACGUCUUGACGGUACCUAAUCAGAAAGCCACGGCUAACUACGUGCCAGCAGCCGCGGUAAUACGUAGGUGGCAAGCGUUAUCCGGAAUUAUUGGGCGUAAAGCGCGCGUAGGCGGUUUUUUAAGUCUGAUGUGAAAGCCCACGGCUCAACCGUGGAGGGUCAUUGGAAACUGGAAAACUUGAGUGCAGAAGAGGAAAGUGGAAUUCCAUGUGUAGCGGUGAAAUGCGCAGAGAUAUGGAGGAACACCAGUGGCGAAGGCGACUUUCUGGUCUGUAACUGACGCUGAUGUGCGAAAGCGUGGGGAUCAAACAGGAUUAGAUACCCUGGUAGUCCACGCCGUAAACGAUGAGUGCUAAGUGUUAGGGGGUUUCCGCCCCUUAGUGCUGCAGCUAACGCAUUAAGCACUCCGCCUGGGGAGUACGACCGCAAGGUUGAAACUCAAAGGAAUUGACGGGGACCCGCACAAGCGGUGGAGCAUGUGGUUUAAUUCGAAGCAACGCGAAGAACCUUACCAAAUCUUGACAUCCUUUGACAACUCUAGAGAUAGAGCUUCCCCCUUCGGGGGACAAAGUGACAGGUGGUGCAUGGUUGUCGUCAGCUCGUGUCGUGAGAUGUUGGGUUAAGUCCCGCAACGAGCGCAACCCUUAAGCUUAGUUGCCAUCAUUAAGUUGGGCACUCUAAGUUGACUGCCGGUGACAAACCGGAGGAAGGUGGGGAUGACGUCAAAUCAUCAUGCCCCUUAUGAUUUGGGCUACACACGUGCUACAAUGGACAAUACAAAGGGCAGCGAAACCGCGAGGUCAAGCAAAUCCCAUAAAGUUGUUCUCAGUUCGGAUUGUAGUCUGCAACUCGACUACAUGAAGCUGGAAUCGCUAGUAAUCGUAGAUCAGCAUGCUACGGUGAAUACGUUCCCGGGUCU
rnacentral:rRNA from 1 species